rnacentral:rRNA from 1 species
GACAGAGGUGCCAAGCGUUAGGCGGAAUCACUGGGCUUAAAGCGUGUGUAGGCGGGCGGGCAAGUACCUUGUGAAAUCCCACGGCUCAACCGUGGAACGGCUGGGUAUACUGCCUGUCUUGAGCCAGCUAGGGGCGACCGGAACAGACGGUGGAGCGGUGAAAUGCGUAGAUAUCGUCUGGAACGCCAAAGGUGAAAACAGGUCGCUGGGGCUGAGCUGACGCUGAGACACGAAAGCCAGGGGAGCAAACGGG